rnacentral:rRNA from 1 species
UUUGUCCUACGGGACGCAGCAGUGGGGGAUAUUGCACAAUGGGGGGAACCCUGAUGCAGCGACGCCGCGUGGGUGAAGGAGCGUUUCGGCGCGUAAAGCCCUAUCGGCAGGGAAGAAGAUGACGGUACCUGACCAAGAAGCCCCGGCUAACUACGUGCCAGCAGCCGCGGUAAUACGUAGGGGGCAAGCGUUAUCCGGAUUUACUGGGUGUAAAGGGGGCGCCGACGGCGAUGCAAGCCCGGAGUGAAAGCCCGGGGCCCAACCCCGGGACUGCUC